UGACGAUAAUGCACCUUAACGCUGGUGCAACCCACCAUAAAACAGAAGAAGAAGAAUCAAACAUCACUAUUCAAGAAUCAGCUACGGGAAAUAGGUAUAGUAGAGUAUAAUGUUAAAAAUAUAGUAACAUAUGGAAAUAGUGACCAAGGACGGAGAUAUUUGUUUAAUUUUCUAAGGAGGACUGGACUGGAAGGACGAAUUUAAUUAAGAUAUAGUAAGUUAAAGUGAGACAGCAGAUGGCAGUAAUGCAACACUAUGGAUGCCAACUGCCGUAAAACUCCAAUGAAGAAGAAGACAAACAUCACUAUUGUGAUGUACAUUUGUGUUAGGGACUGUUGACUGUGGAAUUGUUACACUGGAGAAAUGGAUGUCAAGUCUUUCCAAGGGGACAAAGAAAUCGAAGUUAAGAAUCGAAAAGGAGUCAUCAAAACAACACCAGAACCAGAUUAUAUCUGUAAAAUUGAAAUGUCUGUCAAAUGCCAACACCAAACUGAAAAUAAAUCAAAAUGAACAAGGAAA